rnacentral:rRNA from 1 species
GAGUUUGAUCGUGGCUCAGAUUGAACGCUGGCGGCAUGCCUUACACAUGCAAGUCGAACGGCAGCAUGAUCUAGCUUGCUAGAUUGAUGGCGAGUGGCGAACGGGUGAGUAAUACAUCGGAACGUGCCCUGUAGUGGGGAUAACUAGUCGAAAGAUUAGCUAAUACCGCAUACGACCUGAGGGUGAAAGUGGGGGACCGCAAGGCCUCAUGCUAUAGGAGCGGCCGAUGUCUGAUUAGCUAGUUGGUGGGUAAAGGCCCACCAAGGCGACGAUCAGUAGCUGGUCUGAGAGGACGAUCAGCCACACUGGGACUGAGACACGGCCCAGACUCCUACGGGAGGCAGCAGUGGGGAAUUUUGGACAAUGGGCGAAAGCCUGAUCCAGCAAUGCCGCGUGUGUGAAGAAGGCCUCGGUUGGUAA